UGGGGAAUAUUGGACAAUGGAGGGAACUCUGAUCCAGCAAUUCUGUGUGUGUGAAGAAGGUUUUAGGACUGUAAAACACUUUUAGUAGGGAAGAAAAAAAUGACGGUACCUACAGAAGAAGCAACGGCUAAAUACGUGCCAGCAGCCGCGGUAAUACGUAUGUUGCGAGCGUUAUCCGGAAUUAUUGGGCUUAAAGGGCAUCUAGGCGGUAAGACAAGUUGAAGGUGAAAACCUGUGGCUCAACCAUAGGCUUGCCUACAAAACUGUUGAACUAGAGUACUGGAAAGGUGGCUGGAACUACACGAGUAGAGGUGAAAUUCGUAGAUAUGUGUAGGAAUGCCGAUGAUGAAGAUAACUCACUGGACAGAAACUGACGCUGAAGUGCGAAAGCUAGGGGAGCAAACAGG
rnacentral:rRNA from 1 species